AUUGAACGCUGGCGGCAGGCCUAACACAUGCAAGUCGAACGGUAACAGGAAGAAGCUUGCUUCUUUGCUGACGAGUGGCGGACGGGUGAGUAAUGUCUGGGAAACUGCCUGAUGGAGGGGGAUAACUACUGGAAACGGUAGCUAAUACCGCAUAACGUCGCAAGACCAAAGGGGGGGACCUUCGGGCCUCUUGCCAUCGGAUGUGCCCAGAUGGGAUUAGCUAGUAGGUGGGGUAACGGCUCACCUAGGCGACGAUCCCUAGCUGGUCUGAGAGGAUGACCAGCCACACUGGAACUGAGACACGGUCCAGACUCCUACGGGAGGCAGCAGUGGGGAAUAUUGCACAAUGGGCGCAAGCCUGAUGCAGCCAUGCCGCGUGUAUGAAGAAGGCCUUCGGGUUGUAAAGUACUUUCAGCGGGGAGGAAGGGAGUAAAGUUAAUACCUUUGCUCAUUGACGUUACCCGCAGAAGAAGCACCGGCUAACUCCGU
rnacentral:rRNA from 1 species